rnacentral:lncRNA from 1 species
UCUUUUCCAAUUUUUUCCCAGUCUGCUUUCUUGUAAAUCAAUACUUUGUGUGGUGACUGUUUGGCUUUUGAAAGGGAAAGAUUUAUUUCACUGAAGAUUAUGUCAUGGUCACCUAGUGGUGGUAAUGUUUCUACUCUGUUUACUAGGGAUGGAUUUGACAUGCACAGUAGAUCAAGUGUGCGUUCAUUUCUUGUUGGUUUGUCAACUACCUGUGUGAGAUUGUGAUCUUGUAAUAUAUCUAAUAGGUGUUGAUGAAGAGAAGGAUCUGGUUUGCUAGGUAUUACUGAUGAAUUUGACCAGUCAAUAUUGCCUAAAUUGAAAUCGCCACUGAGCAUGAUAUUUGCACUGGAUAUGUUGCAUAUCCUAUUUAGUGAGGUACCUAGAUGUUCUAGUGAUUCCCCUUUUUCUGAUGGUGGUCUAUAAUAUGCUCCAAGAUAGGUGGUUUUAUUUCCCGUUGGAGUUAUUUUUGCCCAUAUUAAUUCGCAAUCUGUGUCUAAUUCAGGCACAUGUGAUGUAAUAAGUGUGUUUGUGAUUGCGAGUAGCACACCUCCAUAGCCAUCUUUCCUGUUUUUGGUGUAGAUGGUGUAUUUGGAUGGAGAAAUAUAUUCAUAUGCUGAUGUGUCAUUUG